rnacentral:pre_miRNA from 1 species
UGUAAACAUCCUUGACUGGAAGCUGUGUAAUAAUGUAAGUAGCUUUCAGUCGGAUAUUUACA